rnacentral:rRNA from 1 species
AUGAAGCAUGCACAGUACGAAGGUACGGUGGUACCUCCUCCUGCUCUAGGGGACCGACCGUGCGGUGCUCUGUCACCUCACCGGACGCUCGUGGGUGCGGGGUGUCGUCGUGUCCUUGCACUGCCUGGAGGUCAGGGCGCGUCAAUGGCUACAUGUCAGUCGUUUGCCACGAGCCGUCACAUGAGCCAGCACCUGCAUGCGCGCAUGGAGCAGAGUGCUCACCUUCUGGCCCCAACACUGGCAAGGCCCAAGCUCACCACCAAGGCCGACGAGCUCCCCGAAGCUGUCGUCGUCCAGGAUGCGGGUGACGCCAUGGCCGGCUUCGUGGGCCUCCUCCGCCAGCUCGGGGACCUCGCACAGCUCGCCGCGGAGGUGUUCGACGGCCUGCAUGACCAGGCCACGGCGGUGCCUGCACGGGCGUGCGGCCUCGCGCUGGGGGCGCGGCGGCUCGAGGCGGAGCUGCCACUCAUCGAGGAGCGGCUCCGCCGUCGUUGGAAUGGACAGGCUUGUGUACUUCAUCGGCUAGAAGCUCUGUGUGGCGUCGCAGGCCACGGUGUCGAUCGGCCGGUGACUCUGGUGGGAGGAACAAGGCCGUGCUCCAUCGAAAAGUAUGAUGCUGGUGGCGAGGGAGCGUGCUUGAAGAGAUACACCGACCCCUCCUUCUUCAGAGCCCACUCUGCACAGCAUGAAUCAGACCUUCAGAGUUCAGACAACCAUUCCAAACCCCCUGCCAAGGAAGCCCACCAUAACAAAUACUCCAAAUUUAAAACAGGCGCAUUGUCCGAUAUGCUCCAACAACUUAAAUAUCGUCACAUGAUCAGAAGAAAGAGGCGUCAAAAGCACAACUUUCAGAAUCAGGGUUCGUCACAAGAUGAAGCAUCUGAACCACACGUUUUGUCUUCAGCUGAUUCGCCUGAAGCAUCAAACUCCGAAGCGCCAUGCCCUGCAGUACCAGCGAACAAGGAGAGGAGCAGUGACCUCGUUGACAGGACCAGUUCGUUCGGGGCAUGGCUCUCUCCAAGUGUAGCCUGUUGUACUGAUGCGUGUGAAAACACACCAGACAAUACUGAUGGAUCUUCCAGCCAUGGCACAAACAAGGCCGACGAGAAUGCCAACAAUGCGACAAAUUCUCGUAGCCCCCUUGUCGACUUCAUCGCCUCAAGGGUCGAAAGCUCGCCGAGCAAGCUAUCUGUCAAGAAGCACAGUGACCCGUUAACAAAAUCCUUCCGGAACAUGGCUAAGAAGCUGCUGCUUGAGUAUGAAUCAGCAGAGAAUUUUCGUAACAGCAAUCUAGUGCAUUCUGAAGACGUACCAGAUCCAGAUGAAGUAGCAUUUUACAGCAAAACCACCAAGGACACUCACCAAGACGCGGCGACCUCGGAGCAAUCCGACGAUCCUUGUGAAUAA